GGCGGGCUGAGCCGAAUUGGCAAGGCAAUAGUCUUGAAAACUAUCGGGCCUUCGGGCCCUUGCAGGUUCGAGUCCUGCGCCCGCCG
rnacentral:tRNA from 1 species